UUUUUCCAUGAAGUUUCUCUCAGGCGGAAACGACAUACCCAUCAACAUAGAUCUUUAUUUUUUCCUCUCACGUGGUGUAACUCAGUGGUUCUCAAC